rnacentral:rRNA from 1 species
UACGUAGGGGGCAAGCGUUGUCCGGAUUUAUUGGGCGUAAAGAGCGUGUAGGCGGUUAUACAGGUCCGCUGUGAAAACUGGAGGCUUAACCUCCAGACGUCGGUGGAAACCGUAUGACUAGAGUCCGGAAGAGGAGAGUGGAAUUCCUGGUGUAGCGGUGAAAUGCGCAGAUAUCAGGAAGAACACCCGGGGCGAAGGCGGCUCUCUGGGACGGUACUGACGCUGAGACGCGAAAGCGUGGGGAGCGAACAGG